rnacentral:lncRNA from 1 species
GCAGGGGACCAUUUGAUACCUAAGUUAGUAGUAUGUCUUAUUGUGAGGCGAUCAAAAAUAAUUAAACUGGUCUGACUAAUAAUGUAGAUGUGGUGAGAUCAGAUAUUGAUUCACAGGAAUCUUGAUAGUUGUUUUGAAAGUGAGAUUAAAGUAAAUUGUAGAAAAAUAAUGAUGGUCUAAUUAACUAAAAGAUUAAACUAA